rnacentral:rRNA from 1 species
UACAGAGGGUGCGAGCGUUAAUCGGAAUUACUGGGCGUAAAGCGCGCGUAGGCGGCUUUGCAAGUCGGGUGUGAAAUCCCCAGGCUUAACCUGGGAACUGCAUUCGAGACUGCAUUGCUAGAGUAUGGGAGAGGAAGGUGGAAUGCUUGGUGUAGAGGUGAAAUUCGUAGAUAUCAAGCAGAACACCUGCGGCGAAGGCGGCCUUCUGGACGAUGACUGACGCUGAGGCGCGAAAGCGUGGGGAGCGAACAGG